rfam:Trachymyrmex septentrionalis contig9230, whole genome shotgun sequence.
GUCUCGGUAGUCUAAAGGCUUAGGACGCUUGCACGGAAUGCAAGAGAUCCGGGUUCGACUCCCGGCCGAGGCA